CAGCACCCCGAGUGGUCGGGACGAUUAUUGGGCCUAAAGCAUCCGUAGCCGGUUCUGUAAGUCUCCCGUUAAAUCCAACUGCUCAACAGGUGGGCUGCGGAGGAUACUACAGAGCUAGGAGGCAGGAGAGGCAAGCGGUACUCAGUGGGUAGGGGUAAAAUCCGUUGAUCCAUUGAAGACCACCAGUGGCAAAGGCGGCUUGCCAGAAUGCGCUCGACGGUGAGGGAUGAAAGCUGGGGGAGCAAACCGGAUUAGAUACCCGAGUAGUCC
rnacentral:rRNA from 1 species